CUGUGGCUCCAGUGUGUGGCCCUAGACCCUAUCUCAAACCAAAGGUGUCUUCCUUGGAGAGCUGUUCACCUGAGAUCAGCUGAGGUGAGGCUUUCUGACAUGGGACACCUCCCUCAGGCACUGGCAGCUCUGCUGAGCACUGCAGGCUACUCUGCUUCCCCAAAGAGCUUCCUUCCUCCCCAGAGGCGCUCUGGCGCAACUUAGAACACACCCUUCCCUUUCUAUCACCUGAGAGUAGGCCAGGGUCAGGUCUGACCUCCUUUAAGUCAUGAUUCUUCAACUCCUAUCCCCCCUCUUUCUUUCUGUUUUAUACAUUUCUGAGUCUUUCACGAAGUAAGAGACUGAAUAAAAGCAUCUAAUGCAUGCUAGAUCUCAAGAGUCAAAGAAGG
rnacentral:lncRNA from 1 species